rnacentral:misc_RNA from 1 species
GAUGAAGAACGUAGCGAAAUGCGAUACUUGGUGUGAAUUGCAGAAUCCCGUGAACCAUCGAGUCUUUGAACGCAAGUUGCGCCUCAAGCCAUUAGGUUGAGGGCACGUCUGCCUGGGCGUCACAUAUCGUUGCCUGAUGCCAGUUUCCUCGUGAUGGGUGACUGUGCAGGGCGAAUGAUGGCUUCCCGUGAGCAUUGUUGCCUCAUGGUUGGUUGAAAAUUGAGUCCUUGGUAGGGAGCGCCGUGAUAGAUGGUGGUUGAGUGACGAACGAGACCCAAUCAUGUGAGACCCCUACCGAAUUUGGCCUUCAUGACCCACAUGCGUCUUCGGAACGCUCAUGACGAGACCUCAGGUCAGGCGGGGCUACCCGCUGAGUUUAAGCAUAUCAAUAAGCGGAGGA